AAAAGUAAGCACAAAAAAAAAGGACCUUUUCUAAAACCUAAUAAAAACACCCGAUAAAAACCAAAAAAUAAAAAAACGCCGUUCCUCUCUCUUCUCACCAAAAAAUAAAAAAACAUAUCGCAAAAAGAAGCCUCUGCCGUUCCUUUCUCUUCUCUAUUUCUCUAUCGUCUCCUUCCCCAAAACCCAACACUGAAAAUCAAUCCUACCAAGAAGUCAUCCCCACAUGGUUAGGUCUGAGAUAGAAAGAAGGCAUCACCAACCAUAUGGUUUGGUCCUUCGGAGAGUUUUUCCAGAAGCGAAGGUGACGAUGGGACCGCAACAGAGCUUGAAGAGAAAAUCAAAUUAGGCACCGCCACUGCUGGAGUCAUAUUACAUGGAGAUUGGUAAGGAAGAAGAUAAGUAAAGAAUGUGAUGCUAUGUUGCUGAUUUAAUCAGGUUGAGAUGUGUGCCUCUAGACAAUUAAAUAAUUUUGAACAAAAAUUACCCAAACUCAUGAUUUGGAAUUGGCUGCUGUGGUUUUUGCUUCAGAUCUGAUGGUAAAGUAUUGAAUGUUAAUAAUAGGCCCUUGGUUACAAAAUUGUUAUGAUUCGAUAUGUAGGUAUGAUAUAUAAAAGGUCCAUAUAUGAUUUUGGAUGAGGGAUAGCAUGAAUGGUUUAUAUAAAUAGUCUAAAGAACUCCACUCAUUUUUCUUAUGCUUUUUUAAUUGAACCAGGAUGGAUUUUGUUUCUCCAACUUAAAGCGAAUGACUGGCUUUCAUGUGCUACACCUAUUCUUUGAACUUGCUUUUAAGUUUCAUAUGAUUGUAUUCUUUAAGAAAACAUGUAUUAAAAAUUUACCUUUUGGAAUAUGCUUUUACAUCCUUUAUGAGAUUUUGUGUUACCAAGAUUUGCUGUAGCUCAAUUUGUUGUAUGGUUUAUAGUAGUGGAACAACUGAGUGUGUAUUUUGGUUUCUGCAAUGAAAAUAGUUGGUUUAGUAGUGAAUAUUAUUUUUUCACUUUGACAUUAACGAAACCGUUACAUCAAUUAUGAAGUUUAUAUCUUAUCUUUUAUCAAUAUAUUUUAUUAUAUUUUCCCCUUAAAAUUUUGAUAGAGAUGGUAGUAGCUUCAAAGCAUACACACGUAAUUUCUUCAUAUUAUUUUUUUCCUAUAAAGUUUUUUUUUUUUUUUUCCAAAUCAUCACCAUUAGCAAUUCAUUACUAUUUUUUUUUUUCUCAAAGUCAUAAUACAUUUAGUGUUAAUUUUGUGAUUUUUCUUGGGUUUUCCUUGAUAAAUUUAAGUUGAAUCUUUGAAACGAACAGUGGGAACCAUCCCAAUUGAUAAGGUUAUUACUGUACAAUCUAUUUGUAUUUUAGAUUGAGCCAAUCGUUCGAGAAAUUCACUAAAGCUAUUUGAUCUGUCAGAUAUGGGCUUAGAUAGCAAAUUUGGAAGUACUGAUAGAUACAUGUUUUGGAAUUUUUUCUGUUACAUUUGUAGUUUUUAAUGAUUUAUAACUAUUAUGCCACUAUUUUAAAGUUGAGUAUAGACAUUUUUAAUAAUGUUCACUUUCAUUAAGUGUUGUUUCUUUUACAUGUACACAAGGUGUUUGAUGAAAUUUCCUAUGAGUUCUAGAAGCCAUAAUACAUGGAGAGUUGUAAGGAGGAAGAUAGGUAAGAAAUGUGAUGCUCUAUUGUUGAUUUAAUCAAGGUAAGCUAUGUUUGAUUCUUAUGACUAUUUAUCAAUUAAAAAUGUAUUGUAUAUAAAUGUUUUUUUUUUCUUCUAAACUUUGUCUCAUUAUUUUUAUUUUCUUUUCUCUCCUGUUUUAUCCUAUACAAUUGUUCAACUCAGGAGCCCUCCACCAAAUUUUAGAUUCCUUUUCAAUUGAACUAGGAUAGGCUUAUAGAUAUACAUACUCCAACUUAUAGAUAGACUAUCCAUUUGGAUUAAAAAUUUGUUGUUUUUUACCUCCGGUAAUAUGCCAUUACAUCAUUUAUGAGAUUUGUGUUAUCAAGAUUUUGUAUAGCUCAAUUUGUUGUAUUGUUUAUAGUGAUGGAACUAUUGAGAGUGUAUUGUGGUUUCUUCAAUGAAAUUGGUAGGUUUAAGAAUAUUUGCAAAAUUGAGAAUAUUGUUUAAUGGUGGGAAACAUAAUUUUUUGUUGGCUAGAAGCAUAGGCAACCACAAAAUCAAGAAUAUUGUUUAAAGGGUGAUUAGAGAUGAUAACCCAAAAUAUGGUAGGUGGAUGGUAUGUUGAUACAAUAGUUUCAGAAUUAAUCCCUUUUAAAUUUGAUGGUUUUUCUACACAACGAUGAUGAACUAUUUAGUACAUUGAUACAAUUCUUUAUUAUGUUCAAAAUCCUAACUUUCUUGAUGUGUGGCUCUAUCAACCUUUCAUAUGAAAGCCAGGAAACUUUGAAAUUUUAAAUUAAUAAUAUAGAUCAUGUAGUCCAAACAAGAUGUUCAAAUUUAUGAUUUAUGUCUCUUCCCAUUCCUCUCACACUCAUUUUAGAUAAAAUUUUCUUGGGGAAUGAUCUUAAUCUGUAUAGCAGAUUGCUUGUAGCCUUGCAAUGUUGUUGACUACAAGUAUUCUCUACAUGGGCUGCCAGUGGAUUCUGAUGAGUACCUUCAGAGGUAUGAAAGGUUUGAUUUAGCAUCAACAAAAAGUAGAUAACUCAAUUCAAUUAUGAUCCUGCUUUCAUGGAGGAAAUGAGGACAAGAAGACAAACAUCUCAUGAGUUUCACAUACACAGUUGCAGAACCAGUUCAUAAACCAUAGAAAUAUGGACUAUGUAAAUUGACAAAUGUCUAUGUACAAUGAUAGAUUUGCUUAUUCAACUUGUGGUGGUGUUCAUAAAGUAACAUUCAACUAGCAUUAAUAACACCUACUCUUCUAUGUUUAUGAAAUUUUACAUGUAUUACUUUUGCGAUC